rnacentral:rRNA from 1 species
GGACAGUGGCGGACGGGUGAGUAACACGUAUGGAACCUGGCGUAGGCAGGGGGAUAACACUGGGAAACCAGUGCUAAGACCGCGUACGCUCGCUCUGGGAAGGCGGGGCGAGGAAAAGGACUGGUGAGGAGCCAGUGCUGGCCUAUGAGGGGCAUGCGCCUGAUUAGCUAGUUGGUGGGGUAAGAGCCUACCAAGGCGACGAUCAGUAGCUGGUCUGAGAGGAUGAUCAGCCACACUGGGACUGAGACACGGCCCAGACUCCUACGGGAGGCAGCAGUUAGGGAAUUUUCACACCGGGCGCAAGCCUGAUGGAGUAACGCCGCGUGGGUGAUGACGGCCUUCGGGUUGUAAAGCCCUUUUCUGGGGGACGACAGAAGGACGGUACCCCAGGAAGAAGCCUCGGCUAACUACGUGCCAGCAGCCGCGGUAAUACGUAGGAGGCGAGCGUUGUCCGGAAUUACUGGGCGUAAAGCGCGUGUAGGCGGUCGGAAACGUCGAGGAUGAAAGCCCUCUGCUCAACGGGGGGAGUGUUCACGAAACGGCCCGACUCUGUGGAGUCUGGUAGGGGGGUGCGGAAUGGCCGGUGGAGCGGUGAAAUGCGUAGAGAUCGGUCAGAACACCAGUGGCGAAGGCGGCACCCUGGGCCAGAACUGACGCCGAGGCGCGAAAGCGUGGGGAGCGAACGGAAUUAGAUACUCCGGUAGUCCACGCCCUAAACGAUGCGGACUAGGUGUGGGGGGUAUCGACCCCUCCCGCGCCGCAGCAAACGCAGGAAGUCCGCCGCCUGGGGAGUACGGCCGCAGGGCUAAAACUCAAAGGGAUUGACGGGGGCCCGCACAAGCAGCGGAGCGUGUGGUUUAAUUCGACGCGACGCGAAGAAC